UACAGAGGUGGCAAGCGUUGUUCGGAAUUACUGGGCGUAAAGGGCGCGUAGGCGGUCUUCUAAGUCUUGUGUGAAAUCCCUCGGCUCAACUGAGGAACUGCACGGGAUACUGGAAGACUUGAGUUCGGGAGAGGGAAGCGGAAUUCCUGGUGUAGCGGUGGAAUGCGCAGAUAUCAGGAGGAACACCGGUGGCGAAGGCGGGAUCCUGGGCCAGUACUGACGCUGAGGAGCGAAAGCGUGGGGAGCAAACAGGG
rnacentral:rRNA from 1 species